rnacentral:rRNA from 1 species
UACGUAGGGGGCAAGCGUUGUCCGGAUUUAUUGGGCGUAAAGAGCGUGUAGGCGGUUGGGUAGGUCCGUUGUGAAAACUCGAGGCUCAACCUCGAGACGCCGAUGGAAACCCCCCAGCUAGAGUCCGGAAGAGGAGAGUGGAAUUCCUGGUGUAGCGGUGAAAUGCGCAGAUAUCAGGAAGAACACCCGUGGCUAAGGCGGCUCUCUAGUACGGUACUGACGCUGAGACGCGAAAGCGUGGGGAGCGAACAGGAUUAGAUACCCUGGUAGUCCACGCCGUAAACGAUGGGUGCUAGGUGUAGGGGGUGUCGACUCCCUCUGUGCCGAAGCUAACGCAUUAAGCACCCCGCCUGGGGAGUACGGCCGCAAGGCUAAA